rnacentral:misc_RNA from 1 species
CGCACAUUGCGCCCCUUGGUAUUCCGGGGGGCAUGCCUGUUCGAGCGUCAUUUCAACCCUCAAGCUCUGCUUGGUUUUGAGCAUUUGCCUGCAAAGGCUGGCUCUAAAAACAAUGGCGGUACCAUUGAGUCCUGAGCGUAGUAAUACUUCUCGCUACUGGAUCUCGGUGUGUGUCUUGCCAAAACCCAAAUUUUUUCAGGUUGACCUCGGAUCAGGUAGGGAUACCCGCUGAACUUAA